GCUGAUGCUGGAGGAGUCCAAAACCAGGCAUGAAUACCCUGGCUCAAGGAGAUUAACAGAAAAUAAGAAAAUAAAUUAAAUAAGAAUAAUAAAUUAAAAAGUAAGUAAAAAAAAACUUUCCAGAGAUAUCUGAUGGGGGCAGGGAUAAGCCUCCUGUGUGAACAGGAUGGGGAGGAAUGGGGUGUGUGGGUCACAAGAGCUGGUAGAUAGGGACGGUGAGACAAUAUGAAAGCUUCUGGCCAACUUUCUAACGGAAGAAGUAGGACGCAAGGCUAUUCAUUCAGUGACGGUGCAGAGCUGUCGUGGAAGGACUGGAGAAGGGGGUGGUGUGAAAUAAACCUGCAGAAGAGGAAGAAAGGUGGUCAUCCCAGAAGGUUCAAGUUCAUGACCACUUCUUAGGCCCAGGAGAAAGCUGAAACAAAAUACCAUGUUACCGUGGUCCAGGUCAGGGCCCGGGAAUUCCAGACUCUCAACACUUUAUUCAAGAAUGAAAUAAAAUCCCAUGCAGCUUACGAAGUAGUGAAGGGACUUUAUUUAAAGAAAAUAACAGAAAAGAUUAGAAUACACGGCAAGAAAGCAGAGGCCCCGUGGGCGCAGAUGCUUUUAUAAAACUGAAGAGGAGUUUGAUUGCCAAGGGGCCUACUUUCUCCAUUGUGAUUGAUGAAUUGGCUUUUUAUGCUUGUUUGUCGUUGUGUUUUAUUUUACUUUGUUUUGCAACAGGGCCUCACACUGUGGCUCUGGCUGGCCCGGAACUUGGGAUCAGGCUGGAUCGGGGAGAACAGAGAUUCCCCCUGACUGCUGGGAUUGAAAGCAUGCAGUAUUGUGCCUAGCGAUAGAUUAGAUCUUAUACUAGCGAUACAUUAGACCUUAUACUAGCGAUACAUUAGACCUUAUACUAGCGAUACAUUAGACCUUAUACUAGCGAUACAUUAGACCUUAUACUAGCGAUACAUUAGACCUUAUACUAGCGAUACAUUAGACCUUAUACUAGCGAUACAUUAGACCUUAUACUCACUUUUCUACUCUGCCUGUUGCUUUCCAUGGCAGAUCUGAUUUUUUUUUUCUUUUUUUUUUCCCCCGGAGCUGGGGACCGAACCCAGGGCCUUGCGCAUGCUAGGCAAGCCCUCUACCGCUGAGCUAAAUCCCCAACCCGCGGCAGAUCUGAUUUUAAUCCUACCAAUAUCCAACUAUGCACAGGAAUAAGCUAGCCAAAUUGAGAAAUUUUUACCUUAUUGCACAUAUACCCAGUUCCAGUUCAGGCCAGACUGGCCUUUCCAUUCUUCUACUCAGAUAUAAGGAGAAAACCACUGAAGGAGGCUAGGCCUGAGGCGGAUGGUUGUUAGGGGAGGAGACACUUACUCCAUUGUUACAGAGGGAGGGGUAUGUGGGCAGCCCGAGACAGGGGUCCUCUGUUGUUAGUAGAUUGCUAACUGCAUGUUCAGAGAGCGAGCACUGUACAUGCUGGUAAGAGAUCCGGGUGGCCAAGUGCACAGUUACUAGAAAAAGGGAGUUACUAAAAGAGGGACAUGGGCAUAGCCUUAGCCGUGUGCAGUUCCAGUUACUAAACUAUCCCCAGUGCUGCCUCAGAGCGACUUAUAAACAACAGAAAUGCAUCUAACACUGUUCUAGAAGCUGGAAAGUGAGAUCAAUGUGUUAGCAGAUUCAAUAUGUAGGCGCAUGGAGGUGCGGUGUGUGAUUCUGUCACAGAAGCCACAUUUGUGUGCCCUCGUGUGUAAGAAGAAACUGGCUCUCUGGGAUCUUUCUGAAAAAUGUGAUUACUUUGUACUUAAUACUAAAUUUAUUUAAUUGUUUUUAAAUAUGUGCUAGGAACUGAAUCAGCGUCUGGUACUCGCUAGGCCAACAUGCUAUUAACUAUACAGGCAAAGCCUACAAGAUGGGAUCAUUGGCCAAAGGCCGCCCCCACAUCUCCUAAUACUGUCACCAUGGGGGUCUUGGUUUUCAUAGGUGUAGUUGAGGGGAGCAUAAACGCUCAACCAUGACACUCCCCAUCAAUCCAAUAGUACUUUACGUAUUUUGUGAGCUGUUUUGAGUCUAACCAAGAAAAAGAAGAAACAGAUCAGGAUUCAGUUCAAAACGGAAUCCAAAUCCUUAUGAUUCUGUGUGAGAGACAGAAUAAGAUGAUGGAGACAGCUUCAUUACCACCCAGGGCCAUUUUACAUCAGCAGUCAGAGGAGGGAGAACGGCCACAUCAUCCAGCAAGCGUUCAGUGAAGGUUUGGUUUGUGAGCCAGUUACUUUUGAGGGUCAGAUUGAUUGGAUUAAGAAACACAUGGGGUGUGUCCAUGUGAGGCGGUCCAGGAAGGGUUAGCGGAGCAGGAAUGCCUCUCCUGAGGUAAGUGUGGCACCAUUCCACAGUCUAGUGUCCUCGACUAGCAAAGGACACAGAUGAAAACCAGCUGAGCACUGCCACACUCUGCCUCCUGGUCCUGGUGUGAGGAAGCAAAUCCACGCUUCUGCUCCAGUCACAGAGAGCUUCGCUGCCAUAUGUCUUACUUACCACAAUGGACCAUGUCUUCAAACUUCAAGCCCAAACAGAUUCCUCCUCCCUUAAAGUAAUUCAAGUCACAUAUUUGAAUCAUAGCUACAAGAAGGGUGGCUAAUUCAGCUUGUAGGUCUUUUUGUUAAUUUGAGGGGAAGGCAUAUUCUACCACAGCGGCUAAUAAUUGGGAGGAAGGGUAGAAAAUUGCCAUCUGUGGCCCCCUUGAUUAUCCAUGCAAAGAUCAACUACAGACAAGAUCACCAGAGGGAGACUGCUAGAGGACAAGCUAUUCCCACAGACCCAGAGAACCCUGUGUACUACUUACUACGUCCACGGAGAAAGUGCUUCUUGGCCUCGGAGGCAUUUGAUGGCCAUUGUCUUAGGAAAGGAAACAAACUUACCAUGAACAUUUGGACCUCCUGGUGUAGUGAGAACCAUAAAAUAAUACCAGUGUGCAGACUUCUUGGCGUGGCUGUUUCAACUGUACUCUAGCCAUAAGGAAACAAUCAGACCAUUUCAGACUAUGGGACAUUCUACAAGACCAGUUGGCCUAAGUCCUAAAAAAAAAAAAAAAAAAAAAAAAAAAAAAGCCAGUGUCUUGAGAGAUGAUAGAAAGUUGAAAGGAUGGCUGAAAAAGACUCCAGGGACUGAUGACACCGUGCAAAUAACUGAGAUUAGAUUUUGGAAUAGAAAAUAGCCUAGCUCUGUAAAGUCAUUUGAAGAGACGUGUGUGUAUUGUGUAUUGACUAUGGAUUGUACACUAACCGAUGUUAUGAAACUAAUACUCAGUUCAUUAACAGUGAUAUCCGUAUGUUUAUGCUGGAGGCUGCUCAUCCCCAGGGCGUGUUGGCUGAUAGGCCUAGAAGCAAAGAACUAUGGCAACAAUUAUGUUUCAAUAUUUCUACCCAAAAUAAGGCAGCGUGUGUGUACUGGCUGGUUUGUGUAUCAACUUGACACACACUGGAGUUACCACAGAGAAAGAGCCUCCCUUGAGGAAAUGCCUCCAUGAGAUCCAGCUCUCCUGCUUCCUGACCUGCUUGAGUUCCAGUCCUGACAUCCUUUGGUGAUGAACAGCAAUGUGGAAGUGUAAGCUGAAUAAACCCUUUCCUCCCC